UAUGUCCAUAUCACGUUGAAACCCUAGUUCCAAUAUGACCACCAAAGUUAAGCAACAUUGAGCUAGGUCUGUGCCUAGAUGGGUGACCACUUAGGAAUGCCAGGUGCUGUAAG